rnacentral:miRNA from 13 species
AACAAUAUCCUGACGCUGAGU